rnacentral:rRNA from 1 species
CGUCGAGCGAAUCGACGGGAGCUUGCUCCCUGAGAUUAGCGGCGGACGGGUGAGUAACACGUGGGCAACCUGCCUAUAAGACUGGGAUAACUUCGGGAAACCGGAGCUAAUACCGGAUACGUUCUUUUCUCGCAUGAGAGAAGAUGGAAAGACGGUUUACGCUGUCACUUAUAGAUGGGCCCGCGGCGCAUUAGCUAGUUGGUGAGGUAAUGGCUCACCAAGGCGACGAUGCGUAGCCGACCUGAGAGGGUGAUCGGCCACACUGGGACUGAGACACGGCCCAGACUCCUACGGGAGGCAGCAGUAGGGAAUCUUCCGCAAUGGACGAAAGUCUGACGGAGGAACGCCGCGUGAACGAAGAAGGCCUUCGGGUCGUAAAGUUCUGUUGUUAGGGGAAGAACAAGUACCAGAGUAACUGCUGGUACCUUGACGGUACCUAACCAGAAAGCCACGGCUAACUACGUGCCAGCAGCCGCGGGUAAUACGUAGGUGGCAAGGCGUUGUCCGGAAUUAUUGGGGCGUAAAAGCGCGCGGCAGGUGGUUCCUUAAGUCUGAUGUGAAAGCCCACGGGCUCAACCGUGGAAGGGUCAUUGGAAACUGGGGGAACUUGAGUGGAGAAGAGGAAAGUGGAAUUCCAAGUGUAGCCGGUGAAGAUGCGUAGAGAUUUGGAGGGAGCACCAGUGGCGAAAGCGACUUUUCUGGGUCUGU